rnacentral:lncRNA from 1 species
UUUUUUUUUUUUUUUCCUUUUGAGGGCCAGCUGCAGGUGAAGCAUAUGGAAGUUCCUGCAUCUUCAGGCCUGUGCCACAGCCACAGCAAUAUCAGAUGUGAGCCUCAUUUGUGACCUACACUACAGCUCACGGCAAUGCUGGAUCCUUAAUCCACUGAGCAAGGCCAGGGUUUGAAUCCGAAUCCUCACGGAUACUUUGUCAGGUUCUUAACCUGCUGAGCCACAAAGGGAGCUCCAGACUCUGCGUACUAUUGAAUUGUCAUUUACAACUACCAAAUUCAGUGGAUGUUUAUCAAGCCUUAUCUUAUUUAAUCUCUUCACAGCAGUUAACAGUAUUGGUCACUUUCCUUUAAACUUCCUUUUCUCUAGGCUUCCUCAACAUCAAUUCAUCCAUGUUUAUUCCUAUGUCUAAAAAUUUACUUUCUCAUCUACUUUCUCAUUAAAUUUUGGAACAGCUCUCCUUUGCCCUCUUUUCAUGUAGCGUGAUCUAGCAACCUUAAUGACUCUUCAACUAUAUUGUGGUAAAAAACUUGGUUUCUCAUUGGACUGUGUCCCUUCCUGGCUGUUUGGUUUUCUCAAACAAUAACUAAUUCUCCAAUUUUCCAGUACCAACUGGGUGUUCUAUAAUUUAAUUCAAUUAUGACUUCAACUAUUUGGAUUCAGCACAGACCCUGGAUUAAGGGCUCAAUCCCACAAAACUGCCCCCACUUCUGAUGCCAACAACUGGAAGUAUGGCAUUUCCCCAUGAGUGGGAUGGGGCAGACAGUAAGGGAGGCAAGUUUAGGGGAGAAGAUCAGGAGUUCAGCUAGAGGUCUAAUCGGAGCUGUAGCUGCCAGCCUAUACCAGAGCCACAGCAACACCAGAUCCGAGCUGUGUCUGUGACCUACACAACAGCUCAUGGCAAUGCCGGAUCCUUAAGCCAUUGAGUAAGGCCAGGGAUCGAACCCACAACCUCAUGGUUCCUAGUUGGAUUUGUUUCCACUGCACCACGACAGGAACUCCAAGCAUUUUUAUUAAUUGAAAGAUACCAGGGAGAAUAAAGAGGAAAGCCUCAGAGUGGGAGAAGGUGUUUGCAAAUUCACAUCUGAUGAACGAUGUUAAAUAUAAAGAACUCCUACACAGCAAUAAGGAAAAGUCUAACAACAAUAACAACCGCAGUAGGACACACAGAUACAUAAGACUUGAUAAGAUGUAUCAAAACAUGAGGAUAUCCAAAUGGUAAGCAAAUAAAAGGAUAGCCAGCUUUCUUAGUCAUUAGGGAAAUGCAGAUUAACCAAAACACACCUAUCAAAAUAGCUACUAAAAAAAAAAAAACCCUUAUAAUGCCACAUUUUGAUAAAGAAGUGGACCAGUUGGAAUCAAGAGUUUAAAUUGACAAAACCAUUUAGGAAAACUGACCGUAUCUACUACGGCUUAACGUAUACAUUCCCCAUGACCCAGCAAUUACCCUCCUAGGUUAUAUACCCAACAAAAGUGAGUGAAAGAGACAAGGAAAAGAAUGUCCAUAGUAGCUUCUUUUUAAAAUAAUAUUGUUGAAGUGGAAGCAAUUCAAAUAACCACCAGCAGUAGACUGGAUAAGUUGUGGUAAACUCAAAUAGUGUCUUUACUGAAAUGAUAAAGAAGAGACUAUGACCCACUCAACAGCCUGGUCAACCUCACAAAUAUAGUCCUAAGAGAAAAAAGCUAGGCAGACAAAGAUAUGUUUAAGUUUCAUUUAUAGGACCUUUGAAAAUAGGCAGAACUAAUUUGAAAGAAUAGAACUUAAGAUGGUGCUACUUUUGAGGAGGUAAUACCCCUGUUAACAAGGAGAGGGCACAAGGCAGUCUACAAGGAUGCUGGUAACGUUGCGCUUCCUAAAAUGAGCGGUGGUCACAUGGAUAUAUCCGUUUGUAUCAACCCAUUGAGCUGAACUUAAGGUUUACAUCAAGUUCUUAAUGUCUUGUGGUUCAUUUUGAAAUAAAAGGUUAGAGUUUUGAUCUGUUUUGUGGUCACGUCUUUCUGGCAUGCCAUGUUGUUUAUAGGGAUGUUAUCUGUUCCUUACUCUCUUUUUGUUUGUUUGUGUCUUUUUAGGGCUGUACUCAGCACAUGGAAAUUUCCAGGCUUGGGGUCGAAUUGGAGCUGCAGCUGCCGGGCCCACAUCAGAGCCACAGCAACUCAGAAUCCUAGUCGAGCCGUGUCUGCCACCUACACCAACCUACACUGAGUAAGGCCAGGGAUUGAACCUGCAUCCUCAUGGAUACUAGUCAGAUUCUUAACCCACUGAGCCAUAAUGGGAAUUCUCUUCCUCUCUUUCUCUCUCUCUCUCUCUCUUUUUAACAUAACAACUUAGGAUUCUGCCUAAAUCCUUUUUUUGUUGCUAAUUUUCAUGAAUGUUUAUAGGGUUUAGUUCUGCUUUCAGUUGCUUGUCUGCUUUUAUGUGAUAAUUCAGAGAGAUUGAAAAGCUGUACUGCUGCCACUGCUGCCACCACCUUCUCAGAAUCUCCCAUGUGUGUACUUUCCUGUGUAUAUGUUUUAAAUAGACUUUAUUUUAAAAUUAUUUUCAUAUUCUUUUCCAUUAUCGUUUAUCACAAGAUAUUGAAUAUAGUUCCCUGUGCUAUGCAAUAGGACCUUGUUGUUUAUACAUUCUGUAUAUAAUCGUUUGCAUUUGCUAGUCCCAGACCCUGACCAAUCUAAUCUUCCUUUACCUCCUCCCCCUUGGCAACUACAAAUCUGUUUUCUAUGUCUAUGAAUCUGUUUUGGUUUUGUAGAUAAGUUCAUUUGUGUCAUAUUUUAUUUUAUUUUAUUUUUUUAGGGCCACACCCGCAGCAUAUGGAAGUUCCCAGCUAGGGGCAAGGCCAGGGAUCAAACCUGCAUCCUCAUGGAUGCUAGUCAGAUUUGUUAACCACUGAGCCACGAUGGGAACUCCUUAUUUGUGUCAUAUUUUGGAUUCCACAUAUGAUAUAUGGUAUUUGUCUUUUUCUUUCUGACUAACUUCACUUAGUGUGAUAAGGUCCAAACAUCUUGCUGCAAGUGGCAUUAUUUCAUUCUUUUUUAAGGCUGAGUAGUAUUCCAUCAUGUAUGUACUGCAUCUUUAUCCAUCUGUCACUGGACGUUUAGGUUGUUUCAAUGUCUUGGCUAUCGUAAAUAGUGCUGUCAUGAAUAUAGGGAUGCAUAUAUCCUUUUGAAUUAUAGUUUUGUCUGGAUAUAUGCCCAGGAGUGGGAUUGCUGGAUCAUAUGGGAACUCUACUUUUAGUUUUUAUGAGGAAACUUCAUACUGUUCUACAUAAUGGCUGCACCAAUUUACAUUCUCACCAACAGUGUAGGAGGGUUCCCUUUUCUCCACGCCCUCUCCAGCAUUUGUUAUUUGUUGACCUGUUAAUGAUAGCCAUUCUGUUCUGACCAGAUAGCCAUUCUGACCAGUGUGAGAUGAUAACUCAUUGUAGUUUUGAUUUGCUUUUCUCUAAUAAUUAGUGAUAUUGAGCAUCUUUUCAUGUGCUUGUUGCCCAUCUGUAUGUCUUCUUUGGAGAAAUGUCUAUAUAGGUCUUCUGCCUAUUUCCUGACUGGGUUUUUUUCAUUUGUUUGUUAUUGAGUUGUAUGAGCUGUUCAUAAUUUUUAAAAACUAAGCUCUUGUCAGUCACAUCAUUUGCAAAUAUUUUCUCCUGGUCUGUAGUUUGUCUUUUCGUUUUGUUUAUGGUUCCUUUGCUGUACAAAAACUUGUAAGUUUGAUUAGGUCCCGUUUGUUUAUUUAUUUAUUUUUAUUUCUAUUGCCUCUGUAGACUGACCUAACAAAAUAUUGGCACUGAGGAUUUGGGGUGGAAAUGCUGUAAAAUUUGGUUGUGAUGAUUGUGGUACACCUGUAAAUAUAAUAAAAUUCAUUAAGUAAUUUAAAAAAUAGCCAAAAUAGUAUGUAUUAGUUUCCUAUUGAUGUUAUAGCAGAUUACCACAGACUUAGUGGCUUAAAAUGACACGAAUUUAUUAUCUUAUAGUUCUAGAGGACAGAACUUUGAAAUGGGUCUCAUGGGGCUAAAAUCUGAGAUGUCAACAGGGGUGGAGGUUUGGGGAGAGCCUGUGUCCUUGCCUUUUCCAGCCUCUAGAGGGUGCCCUCAUCCCUUGGAUUGGGGCCCUCAGCCGGCAAUUUAUCGUUUCAGUCUUUAAUCUCAAACUCCUUGGACUCUUCUGCCUGCCUCUUUCAUACUUAAGGACCGUUGUGAUUACACUGAGCUCACCCAGACAAUCCAGGCAAAUCCCCUCAUUUCAAGCUCCCUAACACAAGCACAUCUGGCAGAGUACCUUUUGCCAUGUGAGGUGACAUAUUCAUAACCUCUGGGGACUAGAUGUAGACAUAUGCCAGCACCCACUCUUCUGCCCGCCACAGAUAUGUUUAGAUAAUUAUCCUUUUCCUCUGUUACUUUUUACAAAUUGAAGCAUAGUUGCCUUACAAUGUUAUGUUAGCGUCAGGUAUACAACAUAGUGGUUGAUAUUUUCACAGAUUAUACUCAGUUUAAUUCUUCCAUUUAUAUUUAUCCUGCAUCUUCUCGUCAGUAGGUAAAAUUUUUGGCUAUUAGAGACAUCCUUUGACUAAUUAGGAAGAUUUUAUAUGUCAUUAUUUCCUAAUAUACUUUUAGGCUAAUUUCCCUCAAUAAGCUAAUAUACCAAAUAGCUCAAUACCUAAUAGCUCGUACCUUUAACUGAUGACCACUGUCUUAUUAGGGGCUUGGAAGAACUUCAAAACUUAGUCUGCUGGGCCUUACACAGGGCAAGAUUGCUCCAUUAUUAAACCCUUUUGAUUUCCAAAUUGGGUAUAAAAGACCCAAUGAGGUAUAUAAAAUGAGAUCCUGGGACUCUUUCCUCUUCUGUAAAAAGAGGGGUAAGAUGCUUUUCUCACCUUUCUCCAGUUCUUACAUCCAUGGAGGGACUAAAUGUGCUAGAGGAUGACAGCGUUUAUUUAGCGAUUCAAACUCGCUCAGAAAUUACCACCAGGAAUAGCCAUCCUAGCGAGCUGUCCUUGAAGCCUGGACAGCAGUGCUUAUCACCAUCAAAUCUUAUGGAAUAGCAGAGCGAGUAGAUUUUGAAUUGUUGUUUUUUGGGUACUCUGCCAGUGGCUGUACAGCAGACUCAUGGAGAGUGCUAAUGAGCAGUGUCUCUGUCCUCCUCUCUGUGAGGUUAAUGUUGGAGAAAGCAGGUUCCAAGUCAUAGA